rnacentral:rRNA from 1 species
UACGUAGGGUGCAAGCGUUGUCCGGAUUUAUUGGGCGUAAAGAGCGUGUAGGCGGCCAUGUAGGUCCGGUGUGAAACUCGAGGCUUAACCUCGAGAUGUCAUCGGAAACCAUUUGGCUAGAGUCCGGAAGAGGAGAGUGGAAUUCCUGGUGUAGCGGUGAAAUGCGCAGAUAUCAGGAAGAACACCAAUGGCGAAAGCAGCUCUCUGGGACGGUACUGACGCUGAGACGCGAAAGCGUGGGGGAGCGAACAGG